GUUGUUUCCUGUGUUGGGACUGGUUUCUCUUUGUUACUCUGGUUAUGAGUUCAGGUUUUCUCAUUAAAAACCAUGGACAAUUACCGCGCUGCAUUUUGGUCCUCCUCUCCUUCCCAGGAAGAAACCCGUGACAGUCCUGAGCCCUAGGACCAAGCCUCAUGAAUACCUGGCCUGAUGACUCCUGGCUGUCCCCAGUCCACCCGUUUGUGCUGCUGCGCCAGUUUCAAUUGUCUGCCUGCGGCUAUGGAACCCUGACCUGUUCUCCGGACGUGCUACCUUGUCCCUGACCUGCUGUUUUUGGCUCGCUCUCUCUCUCUCUACCGUACCUGCUGUCUCGACCAUCUUUAAUGCUCAGCUAUGAAAAGCCAACUGAGCACAGCCAGAAGAGGACUGGCCACCCCUCAGAGCCUGGUUCCUCUAGGCUUCUUCCUAGGUUCCUGUCUUUCUAGGGAGUUUUUCCUAGCCACCAUGUUUCUACAUUUGCAUUGCUUGCUGUUUGGGUUUUAGGCUGGGAUUCUGUAUAGCACGUUGUGACAUCUACUGAUGUGAACAAGAAUUUGUUCUUAACUGACUU